UUUUGUUCCCUGUCCCUUUCUUUGCAAUUCCUUAUGUUUUGCAUGCUUUUUUAACCACUGCCAAGUUGUGUGUUGAUGUUUUUGUGGCAGCAUUUAUUGGAGCCCCACAAAGCUGCUCUGGAGGGGUAGGAGCCAGCCAAGACCCCUGUGUGUAUUACAGUGCAUUUAUCCACAGCAAGGCUCAUCUGCUAUUUCCUUGCUCAGUCACUCCGUUUUACAGCCACAUCCCUCAUGCUCUCCUCAUGCUCACAGUAAUCUAUGCAUUUUCAUUCUUGCCCCUUCACAGAACAUUUCUGAGCAUGCUGGUGAAGGGGCUCUGCUACUGGACUCCUAUCACCACAAAAAGUGAUCAUUUGCUUCUGACCUUUGCUUCCUCUCUUUUGCAUGAUGUUUGUCCACGUGAGAAGCUGUCUCUUUGCCUAUGCAGCUUAAGGUUUUUGAGACCCUCUGGUAAAAUAUGUAAAUUGUCUUUCUUUAAUACCAGAUCUCCCCUCCGCACAGAGGGACUUGUGAGGCGUUGCCUCCCUUUGCAAAAGCUGCCUGCCUCUUCUCCUGUAUCAUACUGGUUUUCUUCAAAAUACUUUUUUGAUAUAGUUAAUAGUGGUUAUUUAUAUAUAAUAUAUUUAUAUUAUAUAAAUAUAACAUAUAUAUGUAUAUAUAUAUAUAUGUAUAUGUGUGUAUAUAUAUAUAUAUAUGUAUAUGUAUGUAUGUAACCAGCCAGCUAGGUGUUCUUUUCUGAUAUCUCUAUUUGGGCAUAACUUCAGGUUUUUAAAGGAUGCUUUUUAACUUGUAGCAACCCUGACCAAGUUGGUUAGCUAUGUUCACAUUAUUUUAAGACUUUAUAAAACCUACAAGAUAUGAUUAGCCCUGGGCUGGAAUAGAAGUGAAGUGUGAAAGUCUUGGAGAAGUAAAUUGCAGGAUUUAGAGACUCUUAUAACUAUGGUCUUCUCAGCUAUAUGCGGAAGACUCCAAGAAAAUCCAUAUUUUACUGUCUCUGUGAGUGAGCUUCUCUGUGAAUCCUUUCGAUGGAGGUGAAAUGGCAAAAAAAAUUCAGUUUUGUUCUGGGUUUCUUUAUUUCUGGGUGGGCAAACUUGGUCCUUGAAUCCAAGCACAAGAGCAGUCACCUCAACUAAGAUCUUAGAAGUAAUGAAAGUUUAACAGGAGGAAAAAUUGGGACGGCCCAUCAAAAACUUGGAUGGAAGGAUGUGUGGGUUAAAACUGGGUAAACAGAAGAAAAGAAAAACACUACAAAGCUUUCCUAAUAACAGAUUAUGGCACACUAGCCAGACACAAAAACGCACCAAACCCUACUUUCUACAUCAAGGAAGUGAGUUGACCUAAUCUGACUGGACUUCAGGAAAACAUUUGUUAGUAUGCUACUUGAAAAAAAAAUAAACUAAGAUAGCAGUUGCUAAAUUAACUCUUAAUAUGAAUAAAAGCUUGCAAAGUAGUUUGUAAGGGAAAGUCUCAAGGUAGCGGAAAGUAUAUAGUGAAUUUCCUUAAGGAAUGAUCUCAGACAGAUCUUAUUAGUUAUUUUCACUGACAACUUUAAAUUUGGAAUGAUCAACUGAGGAUACAAAGCUGGGGUACUGCCUGCACAAAGUGGGGCUGGAAUACUGUAUAAGAAUGGGCAUGAAAGUCAUUUUACAUUAUGAGCUUGACUCAGUACCCUGGAACUCUGCCUAUACCAAACUUAGGAAAAGUUCUUCAGUAUGGUAUUUUCACUAUAAAGACAAACCAAGUGGUCAAAUUUCUUAGUAGUUCUGCAGGCACGGAAUAAAAUAUUUCAAAUAAAAUUGCUAUAUAAAAAUUCUAAAAUACAAAUGUCAUGUACCCAGUUCCAAAGGAAGGCAAAAAAACCAAAAAAUAAAAAAAAACCCUAUUUUUGAUUGCUUAAUUAGAGACAGUCAUAGACAAAAAUCCUCCAGAUUCUUCUAUUAAAAGAAGCAAAAAAGAAAAUUCUUAUUUUUAGAUGUUAUUCAAGAGUGCCACACAAGCCUUGUACAUCCGUUCCUCCUUCAAUUUCACAGGCAUCACCCGUAAACUGGAGAUUAACCUACAAGAUUAACAGAAACCAUAUAAUGAGACACUAAGUCCAUCUCCUCUGUUGUUCCUAUAAAAAUAUUUCAGAAUUUGGUCGCUUGCUCCCACAGCUGUCAAAUGAAGCCAGAGCAGGACAACGAGUCAGAAGUGCUGUACAAAUUCUGGAAGGCUUACCUGAACUAACACACUGUGAUGUGCUGAAGGUAACCUAAUCCUGGACACAGCUCUGUUUCAUGAGCCAAGCUAGCUCACCUGCAGUGCCCUGUGCUGUACCAUGUGUGUGCGCCAGCUCACGUCCAUAGUCGUGCAAAGUGCAGAGAUUCCCAAACAAAUCUGGACAUGCCAGGAAAUUCAGGGGAAGCCCGUGGCUUGUAUGAAAAAAACCUUUUGACACCCUUGUCAUGCAAUACCAGUAUGAUAGUGCACAGGUCAAGGUCACAAGCUAGGAAUGAAGAAUGUUUGCUGUCAUCCAUAAAAAAAGGUUAAGUUGGAUGUUUCGGUCAAUCCUUAAGACUUUUAAGAUGUUGAAAGCAGAUAGGUUUAAUAUAAAAAUAAAUAUAUUAAAAAUCAAAAUAUUAGUUGCUUUGUAUCUAGGAGGCAUAGGAAGGUAUUAACGGCACCAUAAGAGGCAGUAGCAACAUCUCAUCUGGAUCACUGUGCUUACUUCUAACCCUGCAAAUUAAAAAAAGAUUUUCUGGAAGUGGAGGUAAAAAGGAGGGUUAGAAGAACGGUCAGUGAAAAGCACCCUUCUCUGUGAUAGGUACAGCACAGCUGGUUUGGCUGAAAGCAGGCUGAGCAGGUUUUGGCAGUAAACUGAAAAACCCAGGGGAGGACACAUGGAAAUGGACUUUAUACCAGGUGAGAGAAAUGCUCUUUAAACUGAAGUUUAAGACCUUGCAGAAUGUGAGAAGUUUAACUGGUCAUGAUACAUAUGAUCUGAAAUCUUUAACCAUGAAGAGGAACAGAUAAACAGAGGCAAGCUGAUGGCAGGGGUAGCUUCAAGAUGGAGUCCAGUGUCUCUGCAUGUUAAGUUGAAGAGUGCAACACGGCUGCCUGCGAUAGAGAGGAUUAGCCCCACAGUAGAGGAGGUCUUCUCCAGUCCCGCCCACUUUGUCAAGGACAAAGCUGGCUAUGAAAGUUCUGAUUUUCAAAACACUUAUCAAAUUUACCCACUUGUCACCGGCCAGUUUAUCACCACCCACUAUCUUAUACUCAUAGUGUUACACAAGAGUGUAAAUUAAUGUGGAGUGCAAUACUCCUAAUUAUUACAGUUGGAGCAAAUGGGGCCAUGCAUAUGCAAAUAUCUAAUUAGUCACAUUGUGGUUGUCUGUCUGUGGAAAUACCCUGUGUGACUAUGAAAUCAUACUGCCUGCUUUGGCUUAUACAAUGAUGUGUGUUGCUGCGAGUCUUGCAUAAGGAGAAUUAGUCCUUCUGUUUUAAUAAUACUGUACCAUUCCGCUCAAUUCUGAGCCCUUAAUCUUGCAUCACAGUGCAACACUGUAACAGCAACACAUAAUUGCCUAUUUUUCCAAUUUUCUAUUUUGUUAAAUGCUAAUUCCUGACCUCUGCUGAAUGUGUACAGUGGCCUAUCUUGACACAAUAUUAGAUUAAUCUUAACUGAAAAGAGUUUCAGUGCAGCUGUAACAGAAAAAAGAAUAUGACUUCACCUACCCAGGAAUUUCGGGUUUCAGUCUCCUUUUCUCAGAAGAAUGUUAUUGUUUCACUAUGACACAUUUGUAGUUUCAUGAGUUCUGUUUGUUUUAGCCUGAGAUGACCUGGCCUUAUUAGUUCCUUCUAUACCCUCCAGUUUUGGUGGGGUCCCAAGGGCCUCCUUAGUGGUAUUGCAAAAGGAAAUCCCCAUAAACCACAUAAAUCCCUAAAAAAAGCUGAUGGCACAACUGAGAAUCUCUGUUCGGGCAGGCAGCGUCCUCCCCUUGCGCAGCGCUGCCACGGGUGUCGAUCACAGCCCUGCAGAGACAGAGGACAGCACAGCAGCCUGUAGGUUCUGCUUGCUCUCCAAGACUGAAAGGCCACCCUCACCCAGAGCACUUUUUCUGUAUUUCCUCAAUUUUAAGAUACCUCUUUGCUGUGAUUUCCAGGGCAACAUCAUCACUGUGGUGCAUCUGUAAUUUACAGAUAAAUGAUGACAGAAAUGUGGUUUGGAGGACUGGGUACGAUAUAGGGUUGUGUUCACUAAGGCUGGCCCGAUACCUGCCUUUCUGCUCAAUUUGUAGGGUUACCUGGUUUCUGAAUUAUCACUACUUUGUUUUGAGGAGCAUCAGCAAUGGAUUGAUAAAUAAAUGUGCUUCUGUGGUUUUAUAAAUACCUCUACCUUUUCUCCAGAAUACAGUAAUUCCUUAUCUUACUGCCUGUACACAGCAAUUUAGAUUCCUCCUAAUUAUUAAGUAAUUUUAUGGUUAAUGUCACCUCCUUCCUCCUCUCCCUAAAUGCAGACAUGUAUAUUCUUACAUACAUACGCAUACCUCAUCAAAAUUAUUUCAGCAUAAGCAUGAAUACCACGAACCAAAAGUUUGGCAUCCCUGCUACAGUGAAAGAUGACUGCCACCUAUGGGUAAGAGCUCAUGUUAACAUAUUUAGAUAAAAUUUUAAUAAUAUUCUUUUUAGUUAAUUCAGUUUGUAAUUAUCUAACAGGACAGAGUUCUGAUUCAUUUGCUUAUAUUUUCUCAACAAGAAUCACUGAAAAUCAUCCUCUGAAAGUUAGGUAUUAAACCAACUCCCUUAUGAAGGAGCAUCAGCUUUACGAUGAAUAAAAAAAUGGGGUACGACGUUCUUAUUUUUCUUAUGAUGAAUAAAGACUACAUUGAAGUGCUCUAAUUCCCUAUGCAAAGAAAAACGACUUAUUGCUAUGCAGGUAGGUACAACAUGUUAGAUAAAGCUGUAUUUAAUUACGACUAUAAUUUCAAAGUUAGCCAUCUCAAGGUUUUAAUAUUUUGCUUGCUGUUUCUUUUACUAAAUACAUACAACUAGCUUAGCUGUGCAGUUCCAUGAAAAUGUGUGUAUAAUCAGCAUGUCAUAGUAAUUUUCUUUUCAAAAUUUUUCUUUUUUCAUAGUAAAAUGAAUGCUAUAUGGGGGAAGGGAGGCAGUAGAAAAAUAUAUGUCCCGAUUACGUAAGCCUCAAUUUUUCUGAUAAUCAAUCUGCACAGCAUUUACCCAGAAAACUCAAAAGAAAGUACAGACUGGAAAGGAAAAUUUAUCAUAUCAAAAAUACUUUUUUCUGAUUCAGUUUUCAGGUACAUAAAAGCAAACAGCCUGAUAAUUCUGUAUAUCCGACUACCAAAAAGAAAAGCGCUUAAUUACGGCUGCUAUACUGUGGUAAGCUGCAUUAAAAUGGACAUUACAAUCUCUUUCUCAGAAAUACCAUACAUAAAAAUUGCUGGAAGUCUAGCAAAUUAAUGCACAUAUUUCAGUUUGGGAAAAAAUCUUUUUGCUUCAGUAAACAGGUAGCCAUAAUAUUUCUCCCUUUCGGGGCUGGGACAUAGUAUUUCUGAAGGAAGAGAGAAAAACGUAACAAAAGAGUAAAUUAUAUUAAAAGAGAGAGCAACAAAUACAAACAAAGAAUAAGUCCAGUACUGAUUUUUUUUAAAAUCUCCCUUUUAAAGUUAUCUUAGUCCUGGGCCUUCUUAUUUGUAUUGUACUUUGCUAAAUAUGAUAAUUGGCCUAUCUACAAAACCCCAAAUCAGUAUUACACUAGUGCUUAUCUCCUCCAUUUUCACUACAUAAAAUUAAUACUAAACCUAUAUUAUAAACAUACAAAAUACUGUAAAAGUGGUUAGUAAAUGUUGCUCAAAUAUCUGAGGUUCACACAUCACCAUUUCAUGCUUGCUUUCUAACGGCAUCGGUACCCUUUAUAAUCUACAUAAUUCAGACGCCUGUGGUAAAAUCUUUGUGCUUCAUAGAAAAAAAAAACAUCUUCUAGGUAAAGUCACUGCUCCACAGUACUAUAUUAAUGAUGUAUUUUCCUGACAUAUUUUAGGUCAAAAAUAGCAUUCUUCAAUUUACUUCCUUGUGUCCACUUUGGCUACCGAAUCAAACUGUCACCGGUCCAGUAACAUUCCCCUGUAUUUUCAAACCAUGGUUUAAACUUAAACCACUCAGUCUCCUUUGAUGGGAACUUCAUAUCAGACAGAAAUUACUCCUUAGCACAUUUGAUGAAUCCAGCUUAAAAUAAAACACCAUGACUGCAUGAACAUCUGUGACAAAUGACUUGCCUCAGUCAUCCUGCUCUUUUUUAUUUAAUCUCCCACUGAGUACAACUUCAUAGGUACACUAUUUUUUAGUGCAGACCUCCUCCCACCAACCUACUGCUUGCAAAAGGAAUUAAAAAAAAAUAUUUUCCAUGUGUUAUACCAAAAUCUGAACAGAUUAUAUUUUAACCUUCCAAAAUAACUAGAAGUAGGAAAAUGGAAAUAAACAAAUAAGUUAGUACCUCAAAUUUACAAAAGCAACAAAGGUAAAGAAAUGUAGAAAUGCAAUAAAGCAGUGUUAAAUUAAAAGAUCUGUUAAUGGAAUAUGAAACAAACUCUCCUUUCCUGGUGACACAUUGCUGAGUUACGACCUGCAUAUCCUACAAGUAAAAACGAAGAGAAAAUAUUUUUUAGUCAGUAUGACAAAUUUUGAGAUAUUCCUGUUUCAGUCUCUUUAAAACCAAGGCCAUCUUAAAGACAGGCUAUUCAACAAGAUCUACAUGAUAUUGGAAAACCCAGAAAGGUUUUUCCUGAUUUUUUGCCGCCAAUGAUGUCUGUGUUUUACAGAGGGGAAAAAAAAAAAUCCACAAAUCAGGCAGCAUUCUUAAUUCUCUGAAGUGCUUGCUGUUAAUUUUAUACCCUUACAGAAUGACGAGUAAAAUUCCACUUUCCAGGUAAAGAAAUACAGAACAUCGUAUCAUAGCUUUUAAAAAUGAUACUUUCAGUUCUAUAGAGAUGUCUCAUCAAUUUCACUUGAAUGCUGCUUAUACUGUAUAACACAGAUUUUACUUUAAAUAAUAGUACUUGAUGCCCAUAUGGAUUUUUUGUUACCUAAUAGCUUUGCUAGAUUGGUCAUGGAUUUUUUUACUGUGCUAUGUCUUUUUUCAGUACUUAGUUAUAUGCCUGCAUUCUCCAACAGACAUUCAAAAUACUACUGCAUUCUGGUCUAUUCCACUGUUUUGACACUGAAGUGCAUUCAGAUACUCAUAAUGAAUGUCCUUAUAGAGGCAAGUAAACAAAAGAAAAAAAAAAAAAAAAAA
rnacentral:lncRNA from 1 species